rfam:Acidaminococcus intestini RyC-MR95, complete genome.
AACAUCGUAAGGUGGAACCCGAAGGAAGGAGCAGGCAAAUCUCUGACCUGACGAACAGAAAUCGCAUGAGGCCAAUUUGGGAUGGAGAAGGCCACCAAACAGACUGAAUUCCUAUAACGCCCCGGAAUCCCAAAGGGUAGAUGCGGCAGGUGAAUGGAGAAAAAAGGAUAUGAUU